GCCGAAGUGGCGGAAUUGGCAGACGCGCCGGACUCAAAAUCCGGUGGGCGAAAGCCCGUGUGGGUUCGAGUCCCACCUUCGGCA
rnacentral:tRNA from 1 species